UACGAAGGGACCUAGCGUACUUCGUAGUUACUGGCCUUAAAGAGUUCGUAUGCGGUUGAAAAAGGUGGUGGUGAAAUCCCUCAGCUCAACUCUGGAACUGCCAUCAUAACUUUUCAGCUAGGGUAUGAUAAAGGAGAGCAGAAUUUCUAGUGAAUAGGUGAAAUUCGUAGAUAUUAGAAAGAAUACCAAUUGCGAAGGCAGCUUUCUGGAUCAUUACUGACACUGAGGAACGAAAGCAUGCGUAGCGAAGAGGAUUAGAUACCCUCGUAGUCCAUGCCGUAAACGAUGUGUGUUAGACGUUGGAAAUUUAUUUUCAGUGUCGCAGCGAAAGCGAUAAUCACACCGCCUGGGGAGUACGACCGCAAGGCUAAAACUCAAAUGAAUUGACGGGGAGCCGCACAAGUAGUGGAGCAUCUGGUUUAAUUCGAAGAUACGCGCAGAACCUUGCCAACACUUGCCAUGUUCGUCGCGCCUCUAAGAGAUUAGAGUUUUCGGUUCGGCCGGACGAAACACAGGUGCUGCAUGGCUGUCGUCAGCUCGUGUCGUGAGAUGCUGGGUUAAGUGCCGCAGCGAGCGCAACCCUCACUUUUAGUUCCCAUCAUUAAGUUGGGCCCUUUGAAAGAACUGCCCGUGAUAAGCUGGAGGAAGGUGGGGAUGACGUCAAGUCCUCAUGGCCCUUACGUUUUGGGCUUCCCCCGUGCUCCAAUGGUAUUUCCAACAGGAAGCAAGACUGCGAAGUUAAGCAAAUCCUUAAAAGAUACCUCAGUUCGGAUUGCACUCUGCAACUCGAGUGCAUGAAGCUGGAAUUGCUAGUAAUCGUGGAUCAGCGUGCCACGGUGAAUGCGUUUCCGGGUCU
rnacentral:rRNA from 1 species